UGGACUUGUAUAUAUGAUACAAACUAGUUAUGGUUAAGUCUUUGUUAUUAAUAAAAACUUGCAUUAGCUAUGAUGCAAGUUAGCAGUUUCUACAUCAAUGUUGUAGAGAUAUGUAUUAGAUUAAGGAACUCUAGUUUUAUUGAACCUUUAAUUACGUUAUAAUUUUCCUUCCAGGCACACCAUAGUGUGCUAGAACAACUGUUGUUUGUCUUAAAGUUGCAGUAGUGGUUUCAAAAUUUGUAUGUUCAUUCCCUUGCUAAUAUCUGUUAGUUCCAGUUGUAACUUAUCAUCUUUAUUUGGUUACAGUGUCCAAAAAUUGUUGUCCUUUUCUUUAGUAACCAUCCAUUUAUGCGGGAUAGGGUGCCUGCAAGAGGGUUAGUCCCUCUACCAUAUCUGUUGAUCAAUUUUAACUUGAUAAGUUGUGUCGCUGCAAUUAAAUUCAUGCUUGAUCCACAUGUAUUUUACUGAAUUUUUUAGUGCAUAUCCUUUAGUAUGAUCUAAUCAAGUUAUGUGCUAAGUGCUUGUUUAAGUCCUUACAUUUGUCUAUGAUUUUUGGGGAUAUAAUUAAGUAAAUAAAAGUGUAAUCUCUUGAUAUCUUUAGAUUUUG
rnacentral:misc_RNA from 1 species